CCCCUCUAAGGAUCGCACCUGGAGAGUUUUCAGUACUCUACCAGUCUCGGCUACGGGAGGGAGAGUCAACCAGAGGUCUGUCCAUUCCUAGCUUGGACAGUGGCUAGCGAGUGGCAGGCAAUCUGCUACAAGU